GACGAACGCUGGCGGCGUGCUUAACACAUGCAAGUCGAACGGAAAGGCCCUGCUUUUGUGGGGUGCUCGAGUGGCGAACGGGUGAGUAACACGUGAGUAACCUACCCUUGACUUUGGGAUAACUUCAGGAAACUGGGGCUAAUACCGGAUAGGAGCUCCUGCUGCAUGGUGGGGGUUGGAAAGUUUCGGCGGUUGGGGAUGGACUCGCGGCUUAUCAGCUUGUUGGUGGGGUAGUGGCUUACCAAGGCUUUGACGGGUAGCCGGCCUGAGAGGGUGACCGGCCACAUUGGGACUGAGAUACGGCCCAGACUCCUACGGGAGGCAGCAGUGGGGAAUAUUGCACCAUGGGCGGAAGCCUGAUGCAGCAACGCCGCGUGCGGGAUGACGGCCUUCGGGUUGUAAACCGCUUUCGCCUGUGACGAAGCGUGAGUGACGGUAAUGGGUAAAGAAGCACCGGCUAACUACGUG
rnacentral:rRNA from 1 species